GCUGCCAGCGUGACGUAUAAUCUAGUGGACGGUUCUUCAGAAACAGCUCGUCAACCACCUUUGUAGCUUGCUAGCCAAUACAGCCGAAAGAUUUAAGCUAUUUAGAUGCUUUCGAUGUAUAUUAGCUACUGUCUUUUAGACAUACUUUUGUCGUAUCUACUUGUUAACCUAUUUAAUAUUACGUUAUUUUGUAUUAGUCAGCUAUAGUAGCUGGCUGGUUAAGUUAGCACUAGUCGCUAAUGAUAGCUAGCUAACACCCCCGACCAUGAGCUCUAAACUACUCCCCUCCUGCUAAAGAAGAGGUGGUCUGCUGGACGGAGAAAGAAGCUCUGAGGCUGAACAUUGUUGUGAAAGAGGAGAAGGAAGAGGAGUUGUUACAGUAAAACAAGAAGUAGAGGGUGAGGCUGUUACUGUCAAAGAAGAAGAUAAAAACGUUUCAGUGAAAGAGGAGGAAGACGCGUUCAGAGUGAAAGAGGAGGAGGAUGCAGUUUUUGGAGUGAAGAAGGAAGGGGAGAUUACUGUCACAUUGAAAGAUGAAGAGGAGAGAAACCAGACUCUCCCUCUGACAACGGAAAGAGUCCUUCAGGGGAAUCAGACCCAGAGACGCCCAAAGCAAAAGGAGGACAUCACUGCUCCCACUGUGGAAAGAGUUUUACCCAGUUAGGGAACCUGAAUAGGCAUGAGAGGACACACACAAGAGAAAAACCUUUCCAAUGCUCCUAGUGUGGAAAGAGUUUUAACAAAUUAGGGUACCUAUUAAUACAUAAGAGAAUACACUCUGGAGAGAGGCCUUACCACUGCUCCAAAUGUGUAAUGACUUUUGCCUGGUUAGGGAGCCUGAAAACACACGGGAGAAAAUCCUUUAUGUUCCCACUGUGGAAAGAAUUUUACCCAGUUAGGGAACCUAAAUCGUCACAAGAGGACACACACAGGAGAGAAGCCUUAUCACUGUUCCCAGUGUGGAAAGAGUUUUAGGGGUUUAGUGAGCCUGAAACAGCAUGAGAGGACACGCACAGGAAAUAAGCCUUACCAAUGCACCAUACUUGGAAAGAAAUUUACCCAGUUAAAUUUAACAGGUUAAGGCAUCUGAAUAAGCAUGAAAUAAUAUACACACAGGAGAAGACAUACCACUGCUCUCAAUGUGGAAAGAUAUUUUCCCAGUCAGAGGACCUGAAAUCACAUGAGAGAAAAGAGAGACUGUGUUCUGAGUUGUGUUUUUGACUGAGAAUUUGUGUUUUUGUUUGUCACACUAAAUCAUAUUGUUUAAAUGAAAAUCUGACCCAAAAAAAAUAGGCCUGUUUUUUUUAUUUAUCUGGAUCAUGUCUAUAAUCAAAUUAAAUAUUUAAAAAUGUG